GACGUAGGGCGCGAGCGUUGUCCGGAUUUAUUGGGCGUAAAGGAGCUCGUAGGCGGCUUGUCGCGUCGGAUGUGAAAGCCCGGGGCUUAACUCCGGGUCUGCAUUCGAUACGGGCAGGCUAGAGUGUGGUAGGGGAGAUCGGAAUUCCUGGUGUAGCGGUGAAAUGCGCAGAUAUCAGGAGGAACACCGGUGGCGAAGGCGGAUCUCUGGGCCAUUACUGACGCUGAGGAGCGAAAGCGUGGGGAGCGAACAGG
rnacentral:rRNA from 1 species